rnacentral:ncRNA from 2 species
AACUUGCACUGGGGGAGCUGCAUUUGCGGCUGAGAGGUUUAUCCGACCCUUAGCACCCGAACUAGAUAAUACUAGCGUGGGGAAGUGCAGCCUGACUCUC